rnacentral:rRNA from 1 species
GGGUCAGUAGGUUGGUCGUGCCACCGGUACGUACUGGUCUCACUGAUUCCUCCUUCCUGAAGAACCGUAACGCCAUUAAUUUGGUGUUGCGGGGAAACAGGACUGUUACUUUGAAAAAAUUAGAGUGUUUAAAGCAAGCUAACGCUUGAAUACAUUAGCACGGAAUGAUGAAAUAGGACGAUCGAUCCUAUUUUGUUGGUUUCUAGGAUUGACGUA